rnacentral:rRNA from 1 species
GAUGAACGCUAGCGGCAGGCUUAACACAUGCAAGUCGAGGGGUAACAGGGAAGAGCUUGCUUUUCCGCUGACGACCGGCGCACGGGUGCGUAACGCGUAUAGAACCUACCUUUUACAGGGGAAUAGCCCAGAGAAAUUUGGAUUAAUGCCCCAUAGUAUUAUUGAAUGGCAUCAUUUAAUAAUUAAACAUUUAUGGGUAAAAGAUGGCUAUGCGUUCUAUUAGCUAGAUGGUAAGGUAACGGCUUACCAUGGCAACGAUAGAUAGGGGUCCUGAGAGGGAGAUCCCCCACACUGGUACUGAGACACGGACCAGACUCCUACGGGAGGCAGCAGUGAGGAAUAUUGGACAAUGGAGGCAACUCUGAUCCAGCCAUGCCGCGUGCAGGAAGACGGUCCUAUGGAUUGUAAACUGCUUUUAUAUAGGAAGAAACCUUUCCACGUGUGGAAAGCUGACGGUACUAUAAGAAUAAGCACCGGCUAACUCCGUGCCAGCAGCCGCGGUAAUACGGAGGGUGCAAGCGUUAUCCGGAAUCAUUGGGUUUAAAGGGUCCGUAGGCGGACUAAUAAGUCAGGGGUGAAAUCCAACAGCUUAACUGUUGAACUGCCUUUGAUACUGUUAGUCUUGAGUUAUAUGGAAGUAGAUAGAAUAUGUAGUGUAGCGGUGAAAUGCUUAGAGAUUACAUAGAAUACCGAUUGCGAAGGCAGUCUACUACGUAUAUACUGAC